UUUAGAAGAGCUUCCUGCUUGCAGGAAAAAGUGCAAGGUUCCAUACAUGGGAAUUCUAACAUUUCCCUGUUACCAUGCUUUCUCACUUGUGAUAGAACUUGUGUUUCAGCCCAGAGUGGUAGCCAUGCUCUCUCCCUGAUGGCUGUACUCUAGGACUACAGCUUCCAGGAGAACACAGCUAUCUCAGAGCUUCCCCUCCAGCUACAGAGCAUGGGAAUGGCACAGCCUGGAAGUCUGACUUUAACUAUUCAACAUUGCCACUAGAUGGAAAUUCCGCUCUUAAAGUAGAUUGGAUUAGAAAGUCUGAGUAUGGAACAGAAGACCUGGCAUUGAGCCAAGACUAAGCAAUGGAGUUCAAGUAAAGAAGACAUAUUCUGAAGGAAGACAGCCACACCUCACUCUGCAGCAUGGUAUAAGUUUGCUAGGUAAGGUUUUGGGAAGGAUUUGAUCAGGAACACCAGUGGCACCAGCAGGAGACUUGUCUCCUCUAUCAACAGUUAUCAGAGCUUAAUGAUGUCCCAUCCGCUUUCGACCAGCAAGAAUGACACGACCACCAGUUCUUCUAACAGCAGUUUAUUCAGCAAGCUUCAGUCUUCAUCUCUCUCUCUCUUCAUCUCUCUCCCUUCAUCUCUCUCUCUCUCUCAAACCCUGGGCCUCUCACUCUUAUAUACUCUCAGCCCCCAUCCACUCAUGGCAGGCCAUGUCACCUCACAAGGCACGCGGCUUCAGUUAAUCAGGGCAGCAGGGGCACGUCUCCACCAAAUAUGGACUUGUUUACACCACCAGCUCUGCAUCCCGCAGGUGCCAUCUUUCAGGUGCGGCUCGGGCAGCCCACAGCCUCCCCCAUAAUGACACAUAACUCACUCAGGUUCUGUGUCCUCACAGUUGUCACCACAGACCUUCUGAGACUGGCAUUCCUUUGACUAUAUAUUCCCAUUGGAAUAUGACAAGAACUCUAUGCCAUCCCCAUAGAACAACAGAUUUCUAACUGUAUUUGCCGAACUCAGUCAAACAAUGGUUACUGGCUGUUCCUUAUGCUUUGACUGCUUCUUGGAGACACUCAGAGCAACACAUUCUGCAAAUAUCCAGGUCCUGAUGAUGUUGUCUCACUGUUUUUUUCCCUUGGGGUAAACAGACCCAGGGAGUUCUGUCAUGUUCUAAGCGAUAUGACUCACAUGUGUCUUUGGAAACACCUUGCUAGACAUCGUCUGGUGUAAAAUGACCUUCUGAGAACGAAAUGCAGACUGUGCACAAGAGAUAAAAUAAAUAUGACCAAUCCCAAUUAAAGCACACGUCCCCAGCUCAUCUCUGAGCUAAUGUGUUCCUUAACAAGUAUUUCAUUGACUGGGCUUCACCGAAGCUUGGCAUCACAUUCACAGCAGCUGCUCAUCUGACUAGUCAAUGCCUUUCUUUUAAAGGCUCAGUGUGAGAGAGCACAUCCUGAGAGAUUUGCACCAUCAUAGGGCACCUGGCUCCUAUGGGAGACCACAUCCUGAGUCAUAGCUGGGAUCUUCAUUUGAGAACAUAGCUACUUUUCAAGUGAUAACUAAGUUGUUUUCUAGAAGAGUUGGUUAUUCUCAGAAGUUUUAUG
rnacentral:lncRNA from 1 species